GUAAACUAAACGUCAGAAAUUAGUAAACAAUAUUACCAUAGGAAAUCAGUAAAGCGUAUCGAUCACAGAAAAAUAGGGAUUAAAAUAGAAAUAGCAAAGGAAAUUACCACAUAUUUCUGUCAAUAAACAAAGUAGAUAUAAUAUAGGUAGGAGAAGCAAAAUCAGAAACCCUAAUGAGCAUAAGGGCGUAGAAAAUCAUGGAGGCUCAG
rnacentral:lncRNA from 1 species